rnacentral:lncRNA from 1 species
CCUGAGGAAAUAUACCCAAGGUUGACCUCCGGCUUCAGCACACAUAUGCACACACUUACCUGCAUAUAUGUAAAUUUACACAUACACACAUGAAUAAACGAAUGUAAAGUGCGUUCUAGGAAGUGCCCCAAUCCCAGGAAAUCAGAACGGUUAACCACAUUAAUGAAGUCACCACUGGGUGACCACAUCCUGCCCAUGCUCCCUCCCACCCUAACCUCACAGAUAGAAGCUUCCUCUUCUUCCCAACCAGCUAAGGCCUUGGAAUGCCCAGAUCUGCUGUCAGAACUUCCAAUUUUCAAGCUUCGGGAUAAAGCAGGCUACAUGUGACAAAUCCCAUCAGACUAUUGCUAUAUGAAACUAUAUACUAUUGAUUACAGCCUGGGAAACUAAAAAAGGCAUUCUAGACCAGAGCCAGAAAACAGCCUAAAAAGAACCAGGCAGUAACAAUUCCAGGUUCUGCAAACCACAGAGCCUGUCUCUGUCUCAAACUCUAUCUCAGUAGCGUGAGAACUGCCACACAUAGUGUGUAAACAAAUGGGUUCACCUAUGUUCCAAUAAAACUUUAUUUCAAAAACACAUAACAUAUUGAACUGUAUGUUGUUUAGAAGAGAACCACUUUAGACCCAAAGUCAUAAAUAUAUUGAGAAUUAGAA